rnacentral:miRNA from 1 species
UCGCACAGGGGCAAGUUACCGC